UACUCCUACGGGAGGCAGCAGUAGGGAAUCUUCCGCAAUGGGCGAAAGCCUGACGGAGCAACGCCGCGUGAGUGAUGAAGGUCUUCGGAUCGUAAAACUCUGUUAUUAGGGAAGAACAUAUGUGUAAGUAACUGUGCACACCUUGACGGUACCUAAUCAGAAAGCCACGGCUAACUACGUGCCAGCAGCCGCGGUAAUACGUAGGUGGCAAGCGUUAUCCGGAAUUAUUGGGCGUAAAGCGCGCGUAGGCGGUUUUUUAAGUCUGAUGUGAAAGCCCACGGCUCAACCGUGGAGGGUCAUUGGAAACUGGAAAACUUGAGUGCAGAAGAGGAAAGUGGAAUUCCAUGUGUAGCGGUGAAAUGCGCAGAGAUAUGGAGGAACACCAGUGGCGAAGGCGACUUUCUGGUCUGUAACUGACGCUGAUGUGCGAAAGCGUGGGGAUCAAACAGGAUUAGAUACCCUGGUAGUCCACGCCGUAAACGAUGAGUGCUAAGUGUUAGGGGGUUUCCGCCCCUUAGUGCUGCAGCUAACGCAUUAAGCACUCCGCCUGGGGAGUACGACCGCAAGGUUGAAACUCAAAGGAAUUGACGGA
rnacentral:rRNA from 1 species